UGCUGGAUCAUUACCCACUGAUCCCAUUCACCACCUACCUGUCGUCCCUAGUGCCGAUGACGGACUUGCCACUCCCUAAUGCCGCUUGAGAGUGCUGGAGUGAAGUGUCUGGGCCAACCACAGCAGUGCCUUGCCAUUUGGUGCUGUAGGUGAGCCUUUAUCGGAGGCAUGACGGGAUGACAAACCGCCCCAGGGGCAACGCUAUGGGGUGCUAUCCGCCGGUGUCAGUGGCGCCACACAUCCUUCCACGCAUUAUAAUAUGCACAGUGCCGCGUGUGUAGGCCGGAAGCGAUGGAACCAGGCAACCCGACCGAGAGCAUAGGUCGGGGAGCCGCGCUGAACAUCACUGGAUAGCACGCCCUUGGGGCACCCAACGGCUGUGCUUGGCGUCUGUGCGUGGUUGAGCAGUUGUUGUGCACAGUGUUUGUGCUGGAGAGUUGAGUGAGCUGGCUUGGAAACUGCUGAUUGUGAUAGCAUCCUUGCCUUACAGACCGUAACUCGUGGCUUGCUCUCUCUCCGGUGCGACCUGUGUGCUACGUCCGUGGCUGCGAUGAGACCACGCGGUAGGGCCCGUGCGAACGCUAUAGCACGUGGCUUAAGACUUGAUGAGCUCACCGCUAAGAGCCGCCAGCAACCUUUUUCAAUUACAAUUUUUUGAAGCACAUGUAUGUGCGUGAACAAACAAUUCUAGUCUUAUCGGUGGAUCACUCGGCUCGUAGGUCGAUGAAGAACGCAGCCAACUGCGAUAAGUAGUGUGAACUGCAGAAACCUUGAACACAGAACAUUCGAAUGCACAUUGCGCCAUUGGAGUGACAUCCUUUGGCACGCCUGGUUCAGGGUCGUAAUCAAAAAGCGCACAGCAAUUGCGUGUACAAGUUGUGAGAUCAGUGAGCGACACACAUGCCACUGUUCUCGCAUAGUGUAAAAGGCGCCAAAGACUGAGGGGGAGUGCCGGCAUGGAACGAGACUUUGAUAUUUUCCAUGUCUUGCAGACCGCAACUCGGGCACAAACCUGACUCUCUUAAGGUAGCCAAAUGCCUCGUCGACCAAUUGGUGAAUUGUUGUCGUCGUUGGCUAAUUAUGACCAAACACACAUUUUCGACCUGAACUCAGACGUGAACACCCGCUGAACUUAAGCAUAUCAGUAAGCGGAGGAAAAGAAACUAACGAGGAUUCCCGUAGUAACGGCGAGUGAACUGGGACGAGUCCAGCGCUGAAUCGCGGCGCCUCUGGUGCCGCGAGGUGUAGCGUACAGACUGUGAGCAUGGGUUGGCCUGCCCGUUCAAGUUUCCCUUGACCGGGGCUCCACAGAAGGUGCAAGACCUGUCCAACGGGCGGCUUGCCAGCCCAUCUUCGCGUGUCUUGGAGUCGGGUUGUCUGGGAUUGCAGCCCAAAGCAGGUGGUAAACUUCAUCUAAGACUGAAUAUGACUACGAGUCCGAUAGCGAACAAGUACCGUGAGGGAAAGUUGCAAAGCACUUUGAAGAGAGAGUUAAAGAGGACGUGAAACCGGUGAGGUGGAAACGGACAGAGCUGGCGUAUCUGGCCUGUAUUCAGCCGUGCGCUCGCCGGCGUCAGAGAUGCCGCUCUCCAGAUUGGGACGGUGCCUGGCUGCUGGUGGGUGUGUGGUGCAUUUGCAGGUGGAGUGCGCUGAGGUGCUCGGUGCAGCGGCAUGAGCUCAGCCUUGAGGCCAGCCUCGCAAGAGGUCUGGUACCCGGGCUGUGGGAGUGCUGUUUGUGCUGGGUAGGCAAUCGGGGGCAAUGGUUUCGGGCUCGUGUGGGUGCCGAGCUGGCAUUUGGUGGCGGUCGCAUGCGACACGUACCUACGGUCAGUUCGGUCCUGCCCGAGCUCACAUCUGCUCUUCCUCGGUGUAAAAGCCGGUCAUCUGUCCGACCCGUCUUGAAACACGGACCAAGGAGUUUAGCGUGUGCGCGAGUCAUUGGGUGUUGAAAACCCAAGGGCGCAAUGAAAGUGAAGGUCUCCCUUGCGGAGCUGAUGUGUGAUCCUGGUCACCGCGGUGCAUCCAGGCGCAACAUAGUCCCGUCCUGACCGCUUGCGGUGGGGCGGAGACAGAGCGUACGCGCUGAGACCCGAAAGAUGGUGAACUAUUCCUGAGCAGGAUGAAGCCAGAGGAAACUCUGGUGGAAGUCCGAAGCGAUUCUGACGUGCAAAUCGAUCGUCUGACUUGGGUAUAGGGGCGAAAGACUAAUCGAACCAUCUAGUAGCUGGUUCCCUC
rnacentral:misc_RNA from 1 species